rnacentral:misc_RNA from 1 species
UCCGUGUUAACCACGGCAGUCUCCUUAGAGAGCCCAACUUAAUGCUGGCAACUAAGGACAAGGGUUGCGCUCGUUGCGGGACUUAACCCAACAUGUCACCACACGAGCUGACGACAGCCAUGCAGCACCUGUCUUCCUGCUGUAUUGCUACAGAGACCGUAUUUCUACGGCUGUCAGGAGAUGUCAAACCCAGGUAAGGUUCUUCGCGUUGCUUCGAAUUAAACCACAUGAUCCACCGCUUGUGCGGGCCCCCGUCAAUUCCUUUGAGUUUCAACCUUGCGGCCGUACUCCCCAGGCGGAGAACUUAUCGCGUUAGCUGCGCCACUAAAGAGUUAAACCUCCCUAACGGCUAGUUCUCAUCGUUUACGGCGUGGACUAC